rnacentral:lncRNA from 1 species
CCAAAGGGCCACUUGCCUUCACUCCAUUUCCCUCUCCCCCUUCCUUGGAGACAGCUACAAGCAACUAUAUGAGGCUGGACAUGUGUGAAGAGAAGGGACAGAUUCCCCCAGGAGUGACCUCUAAGGUGGCAACUGUGAAAAUGAAGUUGAACAUAGGCUCCAUGAGGGUCCAUUGCUUCCCCAAAUUUGUAUGCCCAUGUCCUAACCCCUUGUAUGUCAGAAUGUGACCAGAUUUGGAGAUAGGGUCUUUAUAGUGACAACCAUGUCAAAUGUGAUCAUCAGGGUGGGCCCUAAGCUGGUAUAACUAACAGGAAGGGGGAGCUUGGAUGGGGAGGCAGAGGCCCAGGGAAAACAGCAUGAGAAUGUGGAGAAAGCUGUGCUUGUGUUAAGGGGAGGAGCAAGGAGGAGACUCCUCAAGGUCCCUCGAGCAGCAGUUCUCAGCCUUUCACAGGGCUCACCUAAGACCAUCGGAAAACACACAGAUUUUAUAUUAUGAUUCAUAACAGUUGUAAAAUUACAGUUAUGAAGUAGCAAUGAAAAUAAUUUAACAGUUGGGCUCACAACGUGAGGAACUGUAUUAAAGGAUUUCAGCAUCAGGAAGGUUGAGAACCACUGCCCCAGAGAAAAUCCCUUCCAGCUGUCUUGAUCUAGACUUCCAGCCUCUGGAACUAUGGAUGCAACAAACUCCGGCUAGAGUGUUUCUUCCUUUGUGGAUCUCUGUACAGCAGCCUUAGGGAAACCUGGAACCAGGGCAGCAGCCGAUUUGAAGCACUUAUCCAGAGUCUCUCAAGGAAGAUGGUGGAGUCCUUGGGGCCUCUGGGAAAAACGGAUUUUGGCUGCUCCAAAGUACUCAGCAAAGAAGAGAUUGCUGCCCAGUUCUGCCUGGGGCUGCCUGGGGCUGCCCAGGGCUGCCCGGUUCUGCCUGGAUUCUGCCCAAGGGGUAUCACCUUAUCUUCUAAGCCAACUGGAUUUCCAAUCUAGCAAAGGAGGAGAAUUCCUGAACUGGCUAAGUUUGGGCCUUCUAACUUUAGAGAAGCCAAGCAUGUGGGAUGUUGAAGUUCCUGAUUAAUGUGGCCUGAUCUUCUCUCCACUUCUCCAUGUCUGCCUGCUCAAGGACAUAGCAGCUGUUCAAGCAGCUUUGUGCUGUGUCCUCCCUCCUUUUGAAACAACAACAACAACAACAAAAGCCAACCCAACAACCCAGCUCUAUUGACUUUCUCCGCUCUACCACUUCCCUCCCCUCGUCUAUUUCCCCCUCUCAGUAAUAUCAUGUUCUUUCACAUGGCCAUGAAUUUAGCUUCUCUUAGCAUUGCCUUUUCUCUGGGCUAGUUAUCCUGGUAAAAAACAAUAAAUGCAGAGC